UACUUGUAAUUCAGGAGGGUUACUCGGGUUUCUCCAGCUGCCAAGGAUGUCACAGAUGUGAAUGCAGGCCAGCUUCUCUUCGUCCCACCUGCCAUUCUCUCACUCACAGCUGUUUGUGCCGCCCGGGCGCCGGAGGUCGUUACUGUGAGAGGUGCCUCCCAGGCUUUUGGGACUAUAGUGCCUCUGGCUGCAAGAAGUGUGACUGUGAGAGCGGUCAUUGUGAUAUGCAAACAGGAGAGUGCCUACCAGAGCCUGCAACGGUUAACCUGUGCAAUAUCAGUUGUGAUGAAUGUAUUUGGCAUGUUAUCGGAGACCUGCGGCUGUCCAACAAAACGCUGGACCAUUUGAGGGUUGGAGUGUUGAACAUUUCGACUGGGGCUGCUGUGAAUGACAGAGUCAAAUACUAUAA